rnacentral:rRNA from 1 species
GUUGCGUUUCACGCUCUGGGAGCCCGGGUGUCAAAGCCCGACUCUCUUCACGGUCGGACAACAUCGCCGGAGUGGUGGCCGGGGGGGCGCGUUGUAUCGGUUCGCGUGGCGUUUCGUUUUCUUCCUCUUCGGGGUUCGCUCCGUCGAGGGGGGGGGUGAUCGCUCGCGUUCAGUUGACGCGGUUCGCUCCACCCAGUCAAUCGUUCGGGGUGCCCUUCACCGGGGGUCUCGGGCGGGCCGGCAACGUUUACUUUGAACAAAUUAGAGUGCUCAAAGCAGGUGUAUCCAACGCCUGAAUAUCGCAGCAUGGAAUGAUGGAAUAGGACCUCGGUCCGAUUUUGCUGGUCUUUUCUUUUGGACCCGAGGUAUUGGUCAAUAGAGACGGACGGGGGCAUUCGUACUGCGGGCGCAGAGGUGAAAUUCUUGGACCGCCGCAAGACGAACAACAGCGAAGGCAUUUGCCAAGAAUGUUUUCCUUGAUCAAGAACGAAAGUUAGAGGUUCGAAGGCGAUCAGAUACCGCCCUAGUUCUAACCAUAAACGAUGCCAACCAGCAAUCCGUCGGAGUUACUCCAAUGACUCGACGGGCAGCUUCCGGGAAACCAAAGUCUUUGGGUUCCGGGGGAAGUAUGGUUGCAAAGCUGAAACUUAAAGGAAUUGACGGAAGGGCACCACCAGGAGUGGAGCCUGCGGCUUAAUUUGACUCACCACGGGAAACCUCACCAGGCCCGGACACACUGGAAGGAUUGACAGAUUGAGAGCUCUUUCUUGAUUCGGUGGGUGGUGGUGCAUGGCCGUUCUUAGUUGGUGGAGCGAUUUGUCUGGUUAAUUCCGAUAACGAACGAGACUCUAGCCUGCUAAAUAGGUGACGGGUUUUAUCAAUUGAAACCGAAGGGAGUACGGAGGCGUCGGGAUCAGGUGGCGGCGGUUCGGGUGGAAGGGGCCGGGUUCUUUAGCGGGCUCUUUCGCGGCGUGGAUUCGGUUGGAAGCAAAAAGGAUGGGGGAGUUGGUGUUCGGGGUUUCGGCUCCGGGCGUUGGCUUUUCUUUUCUUGCGUUUCCUGCCGGGCUUGCGUCGCGAGGGGGUUUUGCGGGGCUCGGUCCUUUGUUUCUCGGUCGUCGUCAUCCCCGGCGAUACCUUCUGCUCCCGCGUCCGUCACGCAGUCUUCUUAGAGGGACAAGCGGCGUCCAGCCGCGUGACAGUGAGCAAUAACAGGUCUGUGAUGCCCUUAGAUGUCCUGGGCCGCACGCGCGCUACACUGAAGGAAUCAGCGUGUUUCACUCUCCCUGUCCGAAAGGACCGGGUAACCGCUGAACCUCCUUCGUGGUUGGGAUUGGGGACUGCAAUGAUCCCCAUGAACCAGGAAUCCCUAGUAGGCGCGGGUCACUAGCCCGCGUCGAUUACGUCCCUGCCCUUUGUACACACCGCCCGUCGCUACUACCGAUUGAAUGAUUUAGUGAGGCCUUCGGACGGGCUUGUCGGGGUCCCGUCGCGUGGGGAGCAAUCUCUGCGCGCGCGGUGCCUACCAACGGCGAGACUGAAAGAUGGUCGAACUUGAUCCUUUAGAGGAAGUAAAAGUCGUAACAAGGUUUCCGUAGGUGAACCUGCGGAAG